GAGGGUAUAGCUCAGUGGUAGAGCACAUGCCUAGCAUGCACGAGGUCCUGGGUUCAAUCCCCAGUACCUCCA
rfam:Camelus ferus unplaced genomic scaffold scaffold1326, whole genome shotgun sequence.